GUGGAUUUGUCCUCUUGUCAUUCACGGUGAGAAAAGACAGGACAGUCACACUACGCGUAAUUGAGAUUGAGGAAAAAAAAAACAACAAUAACAAAAUGACUAAAAUUGUGAUGGCUUAUAUUGGAUUCCUUCUCCUUGCCAUUCAGUUUUCAUCACACGUCCACGCUCAAAACGCUACCACACAGUCCACUGCCAUGACUGCUCCGAUCAAAGCUGGCGACGUGAGUUCUAACAUGACCAAGAUGCCCGAUGUCAUGACCAAGAUGCCCGAUGUCACUACCAAGAACAUCACCAUUCCCAAAGGAGCCAGUGCGUCCUUGCAGUCCAGCCCCGUCACGCUCCUCAUCCACAUUGCGGUGGUGGGUUCGCUCAUACAGGGCCGUUUCUAGAGUACUCAUGUGUACUGAACACACAGCCAGGAUUAACAUAGGCGGCCUAGCUGUGCAAACUGUUUCACAAACCAAUUUUUAAAAUUUCGAUGAGGACCGUCAUGUGCGCAAAUUGUGGAGUACCGGACGAUAACCCCUUUCUACUUUACGCAUGGGAAUUCAUAUUUGCGCUCAAACCUACCCAUUCCGUGGACACUGGCCCCAAGCACAUAUGGCCUAACGUGUGGUCCACUCUGUGGAGGCAGGCUAUGAGGAUGUACGAAACUCCUUACUUGUUUGGUUCCUGUGUACAGACGACAGGGGUCGUUAGUGAUUGUUUUGCAGUUUAUGCAGUGUACAUUUUUGUUGCGCUAGGGGACAAUGUUGGUUGAUGCUUACGCAUCCAUUUAUCUGACCUGUUGCAUGUGUCCAUACAGUGUUAUUUCUAUUCCUGCAACUGCAAAGGAUACUUUGUCAGAGGGUUGAUGUAUACUUGUGAUUUUAGUGUAGUAUAACAUUUAUUGUAAACGCAUCAUGAUAUAACUGUUGCAGCCUAAUAUGCUCAGAUUGUUCAAUAAAGUUUUGACAUGUACUUGU